UGCACUCCAGCCUGGACAACAGAGCGAGACUCCAUCUCAAAAAAAAUAAAAAGAAAAAAAGAAAGGCAAUGUGGUACCAUGCCUUAGGAUCGUACAUACGUCACCCAACUCGCUUACCUACUGUAAUGGACGUUUGUUGCUCUUGCUUGUACGGCACUCUUUUUCUAGAUCUUCCUUUGGACAACCGCCUCCUCCCUGCCUUCAUUCCUGUGGUUUGGUGAAGCUGACACUUCUCCCAGCUAUAGGGAGGGGCGUGAGCCACAGGCCAAAGUCAAUCAGUGCAUUCCAUCCACCAGCCCAGAGACUGAAUCAGCAAAGGUCCCAGAGCUCCACUUGGGCCAAUGGCAGUCAGGCCAAGGACUUUGUGGAACUGUUGCUCAGAGGACAGCCCCUUGGAACACAGCAGUAGCUUUACACAAUGCUAUCUGCCCCUUGCAACAAAGCAGUAAUUUCACUACUUGAGGGAUGGAAAAGAUGUACCAUAAAAGACACAGAGGCGAUAGACAAAAGGGAAGUAAGAUUCAGGUCUUGCACAGAAACUGAGCCUUGAUUUUCCGCAGAAUAUACUGUGACCAAGCCUCCUGCAGGGCUGCCUGUACGUUAAAGAAAUGGAAGCGUCUUGAAUCGUGUCCAUCGUCCCUCCUUUACACAAAGUAAUCACCUCCAGCUGGGCCAAGUUGAUUGAGGAAACGUUCAGUUUUCACAUGAUUUUGCUGUAGCACCAUAAUGAAUGUAUUUCUUUGAUGGAAGAAAGAAGCUUCAUGAAAUAAACUGCUUAAGGAUUUGAAGUUGGAGCUGAAAACAUGGGCUGCUUUGUUCUUAAUGACAACUGCUUUGCCAUCUAAAACAUUUCUCCUUUUUGAAGGAUCUGUCUUUUCUCUUCCAGCCACAACCCUCGAGCUACAAUAACAGGCUCAUGAUUUUUUUAGAUGCCAAGGUUAUGAAUACUCUUUUAUGAAUAUUUUCCUUUGAACUCAUUUCUCUUGAAGAAGAAAAAUAGCCCUACAUAUUGCAGGAUUGACAAUAACAGACAAAACGUACAAAUUGUUCUCUUAGGGGCAGUAAAAUGCUCCAAAAUGCACAUAGAAAAAUUCCAAAUGCAACCUGAUGUUUAUGGAGCACUGCCUUUGCAGCUAUAAUUUUUAGAAAGUAAUAUUUCUGACUGACAUGAAUUAUACAGAGCAUAUUUCAGAGACUAAUAUCAGGUUAAUGCCUUAAAAUGUCUCCGUUUAUGACAUCAUGGCUGCUUUUCCUAUAUCAGUGCAAACUCUUAGUGAGUAGAAUUUGAGGAUAUGUCUUUUCAAAGGAAGAAAACCUUCACUGAAUUAAGCUGCUUAUGGUUUUAUUUUUUCUUUUAUCCCAUUUCAACAUAUCCACCAACCUCCUCUAAAAAUAAUUCAACUAAUGUGAACUCAACAGAUUAUAGUAGAUCUCUUAUUAAUUUCAUUUUGCCUCCAAAGGAGCUUAUCAUUUAGGCUUAUAAUUAUGUAUGCAGUACUGUCGACUAAUGUUUAGGUUCCUCAUUAAAACUUCAUUUCAUUCUGUUUUAAUAUCAUCAGUCUGUUAGACCAUUUAUUUUCUCAUGUUAAAAAAUAUGUGUUUUCCCUGAACUCUUUCCAUAUGUUUUCUCUCAUCCAAAAAAUCCAGAAAACUCAGCUCCCUUUAAUCCUGCUUUGUGGCUUAGAUACUUUAGCCUGGAACCACUCGUGUUGAUUUGUAUAUACCCACACUUACGCAAAAAUAGCCUUCACUACGGCAGAGUAAUCAUUCUGCAUAGAAAUUAUGUGUCUCUGAAGCCUAUGUUGUCAGGUGAAUCGUGGCAGCAAUGACCUAAGAAUGCAUCCCCAGUUUGAAAUGACCUAUAAAAAUUUCAAGAUACAACUAUUGCUUUGCAUUUGGCAUCGGGAAUAUUCUGUAUAGUUCUUUUCAUGUAAAUGGGCAAUAUUCUAGAAUGGUUCCCAAGUAUAAGCUUUAGAGCUAGACUUCUUGGGUACAACUCCCACUAUUACCACUUACUAGUUAUGUAAUAUUGGAAAAUACACUUAACUACUCUGAGCAUCAUAAAGUAAGCUUACUAACACCUACCUCACACAAUUGUUGUGGGGAUUAAGUUAGUAAAACAUAUAAAGCAUAUGUGACUCUGUCUGGCACAGAGUUAGCACUCAGUCUAAGUGUUAGCUCUUAAUAUCAUUAAUUCAC
rnacentral:lncRNA from 1 species